rnacentral:tRNA from 1 species
GGGUGAUUAGCUCAGUUGGUAGAGCAGCUGACUCUUAAUCAGCGGGUCGUAGGUUAGAGCCCUACAUCACCCACCA